GGGAGGAGGAGAGAGGGGGAAUAAAGAGGAGGGGUGGCUGAGACAUUGUGAUUUAUUUUCUUCUUCUUCUUUAAUUGGUCCUCCGGGAACCGGGGCGAGUCCUUCGUUCGCAGCUGCGCAGCUGGAGAUUCCACCAAAACACUAUUGGAAAAAGCCCAGAGUUUAUACAGUUUAGACCCCGGUCACUUCUUAUAAACCACAUCAGCAGACCUGGACACGCUUUACGCAGAGACACUCCAGAUCUCAGACGCGCAUCACCCAGUGAGAUCUGUGCGCGCAUCUCCACACUGACGCGCAACCUCUCCAUCCGCCUCACUCUUGAGAGAGCCACCGACGAGCACGCAUCUGACAGGAGAGCAUCACAGGACAAGAGUUUCAGUCGGAGAUCACAUCGCUUUCCUCGAUUUCGCUCUUGGAUGUGUGGAUGAGCGCCGCCUUCGAGAGUUUCACCUCAGCUGAAGUUGCUCGGAAGAAUGUGUUGGAAUUUAGUCUUCAUCUUCUGGACGCAGAGACACCGGCGCGCUCCCGCCGAGCACGCAACAAACUAAACACCUGGAACUCUAGCGUUCUGCUGAAAGUCGUGCUUUUCUAAGGGAAUUAUUUCGAAAGGCAGCGCUCUACAGACUGAGAAAGGUAAUGAGGGAUCGCACCUGAAGAUGGAGCUUUUCUGGAUUAUAUUCUUUUCUGUAUUCCUUCGCUACGUGCAAACGCAAGGAGUUUACGCUCCUGCGAAUGCUCAGAUUGUGCAUUCUGGGCAGACAUGUGUGGUGAAGGAGGACAACAUCAGUGAAAGGAUCUACACCAUAAGAGAAGGGGACACGUUAGUUCUGCAGUGUCUGGUGAAAGGACACCCGCGGCCU